CAGCCGCCGCGGUAAUACGAAGGGUGCAAGCGUUAAUCGGAAUUACUGGGCGUAAAGCGUGCGUAGGCGGUGAGUUAAGUCUGCUGUGAAAUCCCCGGGCUCAACCUGGGAAUGGCAGUGGAUACUGGCUCGCUAGAGUGUGUCAGAGGAUGGUGGAAUUCCCGGUGUAGCGGUGAAAUGCGUAGAGAUCGGGAGGAACAUCAGUGGCGAAGGCGGCCAUCUGGGACAACACUGACGCUGAGGCACGAAAGCGUGGGGAGCGAACAGGAUUAGAUACCCGUGUAGUCCCUGUCUCUUAUAC
rnacentral:rRNA from 1 species